GGGCAGAGGCUCUUCCGCCAGGCACCAGUCAAGCUUGCCGUGUCCUCUCCUCUCCUCUGUCUGCCUUUGGAACGCGAAGGCAGAACACAGCAGGCCUGGCCAGUCCCACCACGUGCUGCUCCACCUGCCCUGUGGCUCACUCGUCAGGCAAACCACUUGGAAGGAACACUGAGUGUGGGAAGAGCACUGAGCAGCUUCAGCCCAUGGGGAGGAGGUGUGGACAGGCUCAGCCCACAGGGAGGAGGUGUGGACAGGCUCAGCCCACGGGGAGGAGGUGUGGACAGGCUCAGCCCACGGGGAGGAGGUGUAGACAGGCUCAGCCCACGGGGAGGAGGUGUAGACAGGCUCAGCCCACAGGGAGGAGGUGCAGACAGGCUCAGCCCACAGGGAGGAGGUAUGGACAGGCUCAGCCCACAGGGAGGAGGUGCAGACAGGCUCAGCCCAUGGGGAGGAGGUGUGGACAGACUCAGCCCACGGGGAGGAG